rnacentral:rRNA from 1 species
UGCUAGAGUUUGAUCCUGGCUCGGAUUAGUCGUAACAGGGUCACCAUGCUAGAGUUUGAUCCUGCGGAUGGGUGAAUAAUGCCUAGGAAAUUGGCCUGAUGUGGGGGAUAACCAUUGGAAACGAUGGCUAAUACCGCAUGAUGCCUACGGGCCAAAGAGGGGGACCUUCGGGCCUCUCGCGUCAGGAUAUGCCUAGGUGGGAUUAGCUAGUUGGUGAGGUAAGGGCUCACCAAGGCGACGAUCCCUAGCUGGUCUGAGAGGAUGAUCAGCCACACUGGAACUGAGACACGGUCCAGACUCCUACGGGAGGCAGCAGUGGGGAAUAUUGCACAAUGGGCGCAAGCCUGAUGCAGCCAUGCCGCGUGUGUGAAGAAGGCCUUCGGGUUGUAAAGCACUUUCAGUCGUGAGGAAGGUGGUGUAGUUAAUAGCUGCUUUAUUUGACGUUAGCGACAGAAGAAGCACCGGCUAACUCCGUGCCAGCAGCCGCGGUAAUACGGAGGGUGCGAGCGUUAAUCGGAAUUACUGGGCGUAAAGCGCAUGCAGGUGGUUUGUUAAGUCAGAUGUGAAAGCCCGGGGCUCAACCUCGGAAUAGCAUUUGAAACUGGCAGACUAGAGUACUGUAGAGGGGGGGUAGAAUUUCAGGUGUAGCGGUGAAAUGCGUAGAGAUCUGAAGGAAUACCGGGUGGCGAAGGGCGGCCCCCCUGGACAGAUACUGACACUCAGAUGCGAAAGCGUGGGGGAGCAAACAGGAUUAUAUACCCUGGUAGUCCACGCCGUAAACGAUGUCUACUUGGAGGUUGUGGCCUUGAGCCGUGGCUUUCUGAGCUAACGCGUUAAGUAGACCGCCUGGUGGGAGUACGGUCGCUAUGAUAAAACUCAAAUGAAUUGACGGCGGGCCGGCAUCAGCGGUGGAGCAUCGUGGUUUUAAUUCGAUGCACGCGAUGACCUUACUACUGCUAGACAUUCUAGAGAGCUUCUCAUAGAUGGAUGCUGCUCGAGACUCUGAUACAGAUGCUGCAUGC